rnacentral:rRNA from 1 species
UACGGAGGGGGCUAGCGUUGUUCGGAAUUACUGGGCGUAAAGCGCACGUAGGCGGCUUUGUAAGUUAGAGGUGAAAGCCCGGGGCUCAACCUGGGAAUUGCAUUCGAGACUGAGUAGCUAGGGUGCGGUAGAGGGAAGCGGAAUUUCCGGUGUAGCGGUGAAAUGCGUAGAUAUCGGAAGGAACAUCAGUGGCGAAAGCGGCUUCCUGGACCAGCACCGACGUUCAGGCACGAAAGCGUGGGGAGCAAACAGG